rnacentral:rRNA from 1 species
GACGAACGCUGGCGGCGUGCUUAACACAUGCAAGUCCGAGCGGUAAGGCCCUUUCGGGGGUACACGAGCGGCGAACGGGUGAGUAACACGUGGGUGACCUGCCCUCAGCUCUGGGAUAAGCCUGGGAAACCGGGUCUAAUACUGGAUAUGACUCCAUGACGCAUGUUGUGGGGUGGAAAGCCUUGUGCGGCUGAGGAUGGGCCCGCGGCCUAUCAGCUUGUUGGUGGGGUGAUGGCCUACCAAGGCGACGACGGGUAGCCGGCCUGAGAGGGCGACCGGCCACACUGGGACUGAGACACGGCCCAGACUCCUACGGGAGGCAGCAGUGGGGAAUCUUGCGCAAUGGGCGAAAGCCUGACGCAGCGACGCCGCGUGAGGGAUGACGGCCUCGGUGUAAC